UAAUACGAAGGUGGCAAGCGUUACUCGGAAUUACUAGGCGUAAAGGGCAGGUAGGUGGUUUGAUAAGUCUGUUGUGUAAGCUCCCGGCUUAACUGGGAGAGGUCAACGGAAACUAUCAGGCUUGAGUAUGGGAGAGGGUACUGGAAUUCCCGGUGUAGCGGUGAAAUGCGCAGAGAUCGGGAGGAACACCAAAGGCGAAAGCAGGUACCUGGACCAUUACUGACACUCAGCUGCGAAAGCUAGGGGAGCAAACAGGAUUAGAUACCCUGGUAGUCCUAGCCGUAAACGAUGCACAUUAGACGUGGGGGGUAUCGACCCCCUCCGUGUCGAAGCUAACGCAUUAAAUGUGCCGCCUGGGGAGUACGGCCGCAAGGUUG
rnacentral:rRNA from 1 species